rnacentral:misc_RNA from 1 species
GGUUCGAUCAUGGCUCAGGAUGAACGCUGGCGGCGUGCCUAAUACAUGCAAGUCGAGCGAACAGAUAAGGAGCUUGCCCUUUGACGUUAGCGGCGGACGGGUGAGUAACACGUGGGUGAACUACCUAUAAGACUGGGAUAACUUCGGGAAACCGGAGCUAAUACCGAUAAUAUUUCGAACCGCAUGGUUCUAUAGUGAAAGAUGGUUUUGCUAUCACUUAUAGAUGGACUCCGCGCCGUAUUAGCUAGUUGGUAAGGUAACGGCUUACCAAGGCGACGAUACGUAGCCGACUCCGGAGAGGGUGAUCGGCCACACUGGAACUGAGACGCGGUCCAGACUCCUACGGGCAGCAGUAGGGAAUCUUCCGCAAUGGGCGAAAGCCUGACGGAGCAACGCCGCGUGAGUGAUGAAGGUCUUCGGAUCGUAAAACUCUGUUAUUAGGGAAGAACAUACGUGUAAGUAACUGUGCACGUCUUGACGGUACCUAAUCAGAGGCCAUGGCUAACUACGCCAGCAGCCGCAAUACGUAGGUGCGCGUUAUCCGGAAUUAUUGGGCGUAAAGCGCGCGUAGGCGGUUUUUUAAGUCUGAUGUGAAAGCCCACGGCUCAACCGUGGAGGGUCAUUGGAAACUGGAAAACUUGAGUGCAGAAGAGGAAAGUGAAUUCCAUGUAGCGGUGAAAUGCGCAGAGAUAUGGAGGAACACCAGUGGCGAAGGCGACUUUCUGGUCUGUAACUGACGCUGAUAGUGAAAGCGGAUCAAACAGGAUUAGAUACCCUGGUAGUCCACGCCGUAAACGAUGAGUGCUAAGUGUUAGGUCAUUCCUUAGUGCCGCAGCUAACGCAUUAAGCACUCCGCCUGGGGAGUACGACCGCAAGGUUGAAACUCAAAGGAAUUGACGGGGACCCGCACAAGCGGUGGAGCAUGUGGUUUAAUUCGAAGCAACGCGAAGAACUCACUAAAUCUUGACAUCCUUUGACAACUCUAGAGAUAAGUUUCCCCCUCUGGGGACAAAGUGACAGGUGGUGCAUGGUUGUCGUCAGCUCGUGUCGGAUGUUGGGUUAAGUCCCGCAACGAGUGCAACCUCUUUAAGCUUAGUUGCCAUCAUUAAGUUGGGCACUCUAAGUUGACUGCCGGUGACAAACUGAGGAAGUUGUGAUGACGUCAAAAUCAAUAUGCCCCUUAUGAUUUGGGCUACACGUGCUACAAUGGACAAUACAAAGGGUAGCGAAACCGCGAGGUCAAGCAAAUCCCAUAAAGUUGUUCUCAGUUCGGAUUGUAGUCUGCAACUCGACUACAUGAAGCUGGAAUCGCUAGUAAUCGUAGAUCAGCAUGCUACGGUGAAUACGUUCCCGGGUCUUGUACACACCGCCUGUCACACCACGAGUUUGCACACCCGAAGCCGGUGGAGUAACCAUUUGGAGCUAGCCGUCGAAGGUGGGACAAAUGAUUGGGGUGAAGUCGUAACAAGGUAACCGCCGUAUCCCUGAGAAACAGGUCGGUAACAGAGAGUUCGAUUAUGGCUCAGAUUGAACGCUGGCGGAUGUGCUUUACACAUGCAAGUCGAACGGCAGCACGGACUUCGGUCUGGUGGCGAGUGGCGAACGGGUGAGUAAUGUAUCGGAACGUGCCUAGUAGCGGGGGAUAACUACGCGAAAGCGUAGCCAAUACCGCAUACGCUCCUUCGGGGAAAGCGGGGACCUUCGGGCCUCGCACUAUUAGAGCGGCCGAUAUCGGAUUAGCUAGUUGGUGGGUAACGGCUCACCAAGGCGACGAUCCGUAGCUGGUUUGAGAGGACGACCAGCCACACUGGGACUGAGACAUGGCCCAGACUCCUACGGGAGGCAGCAGUGGGGAAUUUUGACAAUGGGGAAACCCCGAUCCAGCCAUCCCGCGUGUGCGAUGAAGGCCUUCGGGCUGUAAAGCACUUUUGGCAGGGAAGAAACGGCACGGGAUAAUACCCCGUGCAACUGACGGUACCUGCAGAAUAAGCACCGGCUAACCACGUGCCAGCAGCUGCGGUAAUACGUAGGGUGCAAGCGUUAAUCGGAAUUACUGGGCGUAAAGCGUGCGCAGGCGGUUCGGAAAGAAAGAUGUGAAAUCCCAGAGCUUAACUUUGGAACUGCAUUUUUAACUACCGAGCUAGAGUCAGAGGGAGGUGAAUCGUGCAGUGGUGAAAUGCGUAGAUAUGCGGAGGAACACCGAUGGCGAAGGCAGCCUCUGGGAUAACACUGACGCCUGCGCACGAAAGCGUGGGAGCAAACAGGAUUAGAUACCCUGGUAGUCCACGCCCUAAACGAUGUCAACUAGCUGUUGGGGCCUUCGGCCUGGCAGCGCAGCUAACGCGUGAAGUUGACCGCCUGGGGAGUACGGUCGCAAGAUUAAAACUCAAAGGAAUUGACGGGACCUGCACAAGCGGUGGAUGAUGUGGAUUAAUUCGAUGCAACGCGAAAAACCUUACCUACCCUUGACAUGUCUGGAAUCCCGAAGAGAUUUGGGAGUGCUCGCAAGAGAACCGGAACACAGGUGCUGCAUGGCUGUCGUCAGCUCGUGUCGUGAGAUGUUGGGUUAAGUCCUGCAACGAGCGCAAAACUUUUGUCAUUAGUUGCUACGAAAGGGCACUCUAAUGAGACUGCCGGUGACAAACUGAGGAAGGUGGGGAUGACGUCAAGUCCUCAUGGCCCCGCGGGUAGGGCUUCACACGUCAUAAUGGUCGGGACAGAGGGUCGCCAACCCGCGAGGGGGAGCUAAUCCCAGAAACCCGAUCGUAGUCCGGAUCGCAGUCUGCAACUCGACUGCGUGAAGUCGGAAUCGCUAGUAAUCGCGGAUCAGCAUGUCGCGGUGAAUACGUUCCCGGUCUUGUACACACCGCCCGUCACACUCAUGGGGAGUGGGUUUUACCAGAAGCAGUUAGCCUUAACCGUAAGGAGGGCGAUUACCACGGUAGGAUCUAUGACUGGGGUGAAGUCGUAACAAGGUA